rnacentral:rRNA from 1 species
UACGGAGGGUGCGAGCGUUGUCCGGAAUCACUGGGCGUAAAGGGCGCGUAGGUGGCUGAGCAAGUCAGCGGUGAAAGCUCGACGCUCAACGUCGAGUCGGCCGUCGAUACUGCUUUGCUCGAGCACUGUAGAGGCAGAUGGAAUUCCGGGUGUAGCGGUGGAAUGCGUAGAGAUCCGGAAGAACACCGGUGGCGAAGGCGGUCUGCUGGGCAGUUGCUGACACUGAGGCGCGACAGCGUGGGGAGCAAACAGG